GCAGCUUGGUUCCGUGGGUGUGAGGGUCCCAAAGAAACUCAGGAUGAAUGGCUAACUGAGGAGCCCACUCACUUCUCAAAGCAGGUGUUGGCUGCCAGGCUUUCUCGGUCAUGGCAGCACCGCUACAGAGUCCUGGCUCCCCUCAGUGCUUCUCAUCCCCGCCCCACACCCUAAACCUCUUCACUGAGCUUCCCUUCCCUUCACCCAGCUUCUCUUUCCUACAGAACCCAGAUAUUUUGGUCACAUGCUCUCUUGGUUAUUUGUUCCCUCUCAGCCUCCCGGUCCUUGGUUCCUCUCUCCGUCUCCUUGCCCUCUCUCCUCUUCUCUUCCUCUCCUGUGUGUCGUGUCUGUGUCCUCCCAACCCCCUCUCAUAGCUGGGUUCAGUCCGGACGCCUCCAGAUGCCUCUGGCUGAACUCUCCCUCAUAUUUACAAUAAACCCCUUCUCCUCCACCAUGCCUAGGAGCAGUCACGUCCUCAUUUUGAUUCAGUGGGCAGUCUGGGGUAAGGUGGGGGCUUGGGGACAGUGACAGCAGAGCAUCUUAGGGUUAGCAUGAUGACGGGCUUGGGACACACCAAACAGCUCAUUCUGAUCAGGGGUCCAGCCAUUCAGUCUUCCUGGGGCUCAGGAAACAGAGGCAGAAAGCAUCACGCAUCAUAAGUGUAAGUGAGGCUUCCAAACGUGUGUGUGAAGUCUGCAGGAGAGCCUGGACUGGAAAGCUUGGACAUGAAAGGACUUGUCAUCCUGCAGAGGACGUCCCACUUGGUCUUUUGGUACCUGGGUCGAAAACACUCAGCUAGCCAGGCAGUGAUGGUUUCUAACAGAAGAGGGCAGCACAGGUUCAUGAGCAAAGAGGGCCCCAGGCCUCGGCCAUCAUGCUGGGAGACACCCAAGCACAUGCCGCAGCGGGUCUGUGCCUCAAACAUCCUCUGAGUGAGGAGGACAGGGAGCAGAGGUGGUGGGGAGAAACAGUAACUGCUCAGGAACAAGAAACAUUAUCUGGUCGGAAACAUGGCAUCAGGAGAGAAGCCCUGCUUAUUUCUCUGAAAAUGAGACAAAAUGAAAGCCAGGAACAUGGGCUCUGGAAUUUUCCAGGGAGUCUCCCCUGAGACCCUCCCCACCACCCGCCUUCCUAAUUGAGCCUCGAGUUUCCUGACAAGAAUGCGUGCUGAUGGGCUUUGAUGAGAAGCAGGUUUCUGUUCCCUCUUUCGAGGUCUCUGGAGCACUUCUGGCCGGAGUUGUUUUCCACUGGUUUUCAUGGAGAUUUACAACACAGGCUCAGAACAGAUUUGGACCCAUAACGUAACUGGCUGCAGUGAGCCAUCUGGCAGUUGGGGAGAUGGGGUUUUGUCAUGGGCAAGUUGUCCCCUCCAACAUACACCCAAAUUCAUAUGCCAAGGUCCUAAGCUGCAGGACCUCGGAUCCCUGUUUUGAGGGAGGGUCUCUAAAGAGGUAGUUAUGGGCAGGUGAGGUCGUUGGAUGGGCCCCAUCCCAGUGACUUGCGGAUGCAAGCCCCCAGGAGGGGCUAAGCCUGAUGACACCUGGAUGUCAGGUUUCUAGCCUAAAGAACUGCUGCUCCACAAGCAGAGGCCUGUGGGGUCUGCAGUGCAGCCACCAGGGACUGUUGCAGUCUGCCUGAUGCAGAAGGGAAGGAGGAAAGUCCUCCACGGUCUUAGUAGUUCCUGUUGUUACCGUCAGUGAGUGUCCUCAUCCACUCACCUUCCAGCCUCUAGGUGACAGACAAUGGCAUGUUGAGAGAUAGAAAGGUACACCCAGGGGGGCAGUCACAUACAUGCAGUAGUCAGGGCACAGAACCCUGUACAAAGGCGAGUCCCCAUGGCCAAAGUGAAAAGACCACUUGUGAUAUCCUGGGGCAUGUCAAGGGCUCUGUUUGCAAAUACUCAACUGUCUAAGGCCCUCAAUCAUUCCUUGGUAGGUAGGAAACAGAGGGGCAGGGAGCCAUUGGCUUGCCUCCCCGCUGGCAGAGCUGGCAUCUGAUUUGAUUGGCUUGCCUCGACAGUAGUGGAGCUGGCAUCUGAUUUGACCCAGGCAGUUUGCUAUCCAGGCAGUCCCUUGUACAUGGCAGUUUUGCAUUUGUGUAUGGGGUUGGGGCACGCAGAUAUGCACAUGAAAGUCUCAUUGGUUUGGGUUGGCUCGCUGGCCAGUGGCCCCAAGAGUCACCUGUCUCUGCCUUCUCAGCACCGGGAUUACCAGCGGGCACCACUGGGCCUGUUUGUUUUUGUUUUUCAUUAUGGGUUCUGGGGAUUGAACUGAGGUCCCCAUGCUUGCACGGCACUUGACCAACUGAGCCAUCUCUUGUCCCCCUUUGUAAAUGUGGAACUCCUUAAAAGAAGAUGCUGGAAUAAAA